UAUUCCUUGAAACCGAGUCGCCAUUUUGUUUGGAAAAACCUGACAUUAUUUACCUAGUUGUGCUUUAAAACAUUAACCUCCGCUAGUAAUUUGCAAGGUAAACUGGGGUUCGUAUUUUUUGCAAAAACGAAAUACUUUCAGGUACCUGUCUGUGCAUAUAAGCACAUCCAUACGAGUAAGUAGCGCCUAACCAAUCAGUUGUGCAGCCGUGAGCUGAGGGGUAUAAAAUUGAGGCUGUUGCCGUAGAGACGUCUGCCACAGAAGAGUUGAACACAUGAGCGCGAGGAAAGCGAGUGAUGAGCAUUAAGUCUCAACUAAACAAACUCUGGCCCUCCUUUCACUUGGCCUUUGGACAGCACAAUGUGUGACAUGAAGGCCUAUCCCACGAGUGGAAAUCCACUACCACCAGAGGUCACAAAUACCAAAAGGCCUGGACGUGUAACCAACCAGCUACAGUAUUUGGAGAAGGUUGUGAUCAAAGCUUUAUGGAGGCAUCAUUUUUCAUGGCCCUUCCAUCAGCCUGUUGAUGCAGUUGCACUUCGCCUCCCUGAUUAUUAUACAAUCAUUACAAAACCUAUGGACCUUGGCACAAUUAAGAAGCGUCUUCAGAACAAAUAUUACUUCCAGGCACUCGAGUGCAUACAAGAUUUCAACACUAUGUUCACUAACUGCUAUGUGUACAAUCGGCCUGGAGAUGACAUUGUUUUUAUGGCUCAGACAUUGGAGAAGGUUUUUUUGCACAAAGUGUCUCAAAUGCCUAAAGAUGAAUAUGAAGUGGAAAGCGUUACGACAAAAGAACAAGUAAAGGAAAAAAAGACAAACUCAGGUGCCUUAAAUCAGACUCUAGUGUCUGAGGUUGUUCUCCAGCAGACAGUAACAGUCAUUCCUCCCGAUAUGUCUCAGUUCAAUCAACCAUUACAGCUUUCAGCAACAAUUGAUGCAACAAUAAAAAAAGGUUUUAAGAGGAAAGCCGACUCCACAACCUCAAUCACCACAGCAAUCAUGUCUCCUGUUGAACGUUCGGCGCCUUCUACAUUAUUAUUAAGGAGGGGCAGUGGAAGGCCCAUCAACCCUCCUAGGAAAGAUUUACCUGCUUUUGACGACAAGAAGGUCAGACUGUCUCAUCAGCUCAGGUAUUGCAAUGACAUCCUAAAGGAGAUGCUCUCAAAGAGGCACUGUGCAUAUGCAUGGCCCUUUUACACCCCCGUCGAUGCAGCGGCUUUGGGCUUACAUGACUACCAUAAUAUCAUCCAGCAGCCUAUGGACCUGAGCACCAUCAGGAACAAAAUGGAUCAACGAGAGUAUGCAAAUGCCAGAGAAUUUGCUGCAGAUGUCCGACUGAUGUUCUCAAACUGUUACAAAUAUAAUCCACCCGCACAUGAAGUGGUCUACAUGGCAAGGAAACUCCAGGAUGUUUUUGAAGCUCGUUAUCUUAAGAUUCCCCAAGAACCAGAAGGCUGUUCCCUGUCUCACCUGUCAACCUCAGCAAGUUCUAAAAGUGAUAGCUCCUCCGAGGCAGAAAACUCAUCAGAAGAGGUGGCCAGUCAGCUGGCCAACCUGGAAGAGAGGUUAAAAGCUGUCCGUGAUCAGCUGAAGAAACUCUCCCAGGACCCCUUAAAGAAACCAAAAAAAAAGGACAAGUCAAAAAAGAACAAGUGUAAAAUAAAGCAUAUGGCUCGAUCAAAGCAGAAAUCGGCAAAAUAUAAGGCUGUUGUAGAAAAACCCACCAAAGUCACAAGCUCUUCUUUGCAUGACAGCCAACAUGAUUUUCACAAAGUGCCCAUAAAAUGGAGGGAUGAAGGCUCAUCAAUACCAUUGACUUACCAGGAGAAGAAACAGUUGAAACAGGACAUUGACAAACUGCCCGGUUACAAACUGGGCAAGUUAGUGAGCAUCAUUAAAGCCAGGGAGUCUUGUCUGCAAGGUUCUACUCUGGAGGAGGUUGAGGUUGACUUUGAAAUACUCAAGACUUCUACACUGAGAAUCCUUCAAAGGUUUGUUGUAGCAAGUCUGAAAAAAAGCGGCAAGAGUGACAAGAAAAAGUUGGUGAAGCCCACAAGAGGAAUUCAGGCAGGGUCACUGAAGGUUGCGGGGAAAUGUCAGGCUGUCAACAAAGAGCAAAAUUUGAUUAGGAAAAAAAAGCAAGUUGCUAAAGUCAAGGCAUCUCCUGACUUUAUCUUCCUACCGUGCCCCAGUGAAAGCAGCAGCAGCAGCAGCUGGUCCUCAAGCUCCAAAUGCAGCAGUAGCAGUCGUUCCAGAUUUUCUGACAGCAGUGGCUCUGAAUCAGUGCCUACAAUAAAAAAGAAAAGUGAAGGCUCGUGCCAGAAAGCAAAGAAAAAGCCACUGGUCAGUCAUGCUGAAUGUGGAAAGCAGGCAUCCGUGAGUAAAGAUUUGGUGAAAGCCUCGGUCCAGACUGUUCAACCACCUUCUGCUGCACAGUCCUCAGCUGCACAAACUAAAGACUAUCCCGUCCACCAAAAUGAGCCAAAUUUAUCACCUCCAGAUUUGUCUGCUCUAUUAUCCCCUAUGGCCUCUCCAGGAGUUCUGCUGGACUGGGCUACUGCCAGAUUUGAGGGCCCAGUGCUGUCCCCCCUGAGAGACAGUCCACUUCUAAGCAGAGAGGAUCUAGAGUCUGUAAUUAUGCCAGACUUGACAUACACUGAUGAUUUCUUGGAUAGUCAGUUGACUGGUGUGCCUCACACUAACCCAGCAAGUAGAUCUGCGGAAGAGGAAAGACCACAAGCUCCCAAAACGAGCAUUGUUUUAAAAAACGCUCAGUCCUGGGCGCGGCUGGUGAGACAAUCAGUCAGUGCAACUGCAAUCAAGUCGUCAAAAGAGAGCUUCCAGCAUUUCCCCUGCCAGCCUCAUGUAAAACAGAACCAAAUGUUAUACCAGAGAACCUUCACUCAGAAGCUAUGCUGGAUGCUUCCAAAGAGCUACAGAAUUCCUAUGAUUACACAGAGCUUCUAACUGCACAGUCGCCACUAGAUGGGGAAAGAGAGAAGGCCCGCAAAAAGGAACAGGAGCGUCGCAGGCAACAGGCUAUGACUGGAAUUGACAUGACUAUGCAACGAGAUAUAAUGGCUAUGUUUGAGCGUAACCUGGACUAAAGUCACCUAGGAUUUACUGGAAUUUGUGCCAAUAACUUUUUGCCAUAACGUGAGGUGCUGUCUCUUUCUGGGGACACAGAGGUGUUCCUGAGACAUUCAUGUUAUUAGCGACAUGCCUUCAAGUCUGAAAAAUAUCUGCACUCUGUGAUUGGGGUGAAGCACUAGUAUUUUCACAUUUUAAUGCUACUACGGCUUCCCAUUCUGUCUGUAGCUAACUAGGGCCUACAUACGCUGCAGUUGAAAUACCUCGUAAUUGUAUUGUUUGCUGAAAUGUGCAGUGUUUUUUUCCUGUGCUUGAUAUUCCUGGCAAUGACCCCACACUUCACAAAAUUACUGCACGUAAAAGACCAUAUAAUAUUUGAAACAGGGAUUGAAGUUCAAUUUCACUAACGAUUCCAGUGGUGGAUUGUAUUGUAUUAAUAAUCUCAGUUCUUUGUUAACUCGACAACAGUACUUGAAAAUACUAAACCUUGUGUUAACUGAAUAUGCACUUUGUUGUUCAUGCAGUUCUGGCUGUUCCAAAAUUAUUUUCAGACAUUAUCAGCAUAUUUUUGUAUGUUACAGUUAGUAUGUUUCUUCUUUUUUUACUUAAUAUUAAAGCUGUUUUCAUGACGCAAUCUACAUCACUUCAUCACAUGCAUGGAGUGCAAGUGCUUCACUCCACUACAACAUACUGUACAAUUUGCUUUACAGUAGGCCUGUUUGAGUCUGCAGUUUUUCUCUUUUCCACUACUGCCAUGCUUUUGUAAUACAUGUUGAAAACCUUUCCUGAGAAGUGAUCAUCUGGAUUGCAACAUAUGUUGGGUCAAAGGUUGCUUUUACCUCCAGCCUAGCGGAGGCAGAGCUAAUGAGAGGAAACUUGGUUUCCUCUUAAGCUUAGGCUUUUAAUAGCCUGCAAUAAAAUAUAAUUUCAAAGCUU